GACGAACGCUGGCGGCGUGCCUAAUACAUGCAAGUCGAGCGAAUCUUGAGGUGCUUGCACCUCUUGGUUAGCGGCGGACGGGUGAGUAACACGUGGGCAACCUGCCUGUAAGACUGGGAUAACUUCGGGAAACCGGAGCUAAUACCGGAUAAUCCUUUUCCUCUCAUGAGGAAAAGCUGAAAGUCGGUUUCGGCUGACACUUACAGAUGGGCCCGCGGCGCAUUAGCUAGUUGGUGAGGUAACGGCUCACCAAGGCGACGAUGCGUAGCCGACCUGAGGGGGUGAUGGGCCACACUGGGACUGAGACACGGCCCAGACUCCUACGGGAGGCAGCAGUAGGGAAUCUUCCGCAAUGGACGAAAGUCUGACGGAGCAACGCCGCGUGAGCGAUGAAGGCCGUCGGGUCGUAAAGCUCUGUUGUUAGGGAAGAACAAGUAUCGGAGUAACUGCCGGUACCUUGACGGUACCUAACCAGAAAGCCACGGCUAACUACGUGCCAGCCGCCGCCGCGG
rnacentral:rRNA from 1 species